GAUGAACGCUGGCGGCGCAUUUAGGACAUGCAAGUCGAACGAAAAUUUACGCUUAACAGAAAGAAUAGUUUACUAUACUGGAAGUUAUUGUAAAUUUUAGUGGCGGACGGGUGAGUAAUACAUAGAUAAUCUGCCUUUUAGAGAGAAAUAACAAUGAGAAAUUGUUGCUAAUGUCACAUAAGACCACAAUAUCGCAUGGUAAAGAGGUCAAAGGAGCAAUCCGCUAAAGAUGAGUCUAUGGCUGAUUAGCUAGUUGGUGGGUAAGAGCCUACCAAGGCGAUGAUCAGUAGCCGAGCUGAGAGGCUGGCCGGCCACAUUGGGACUGAGACACGGCCCAG
rnacentral:rRNA from 1 species